rnacentral:rRNA from 1 species
GAGCAAUGUGCCAUGCGRAUAUGUUUUUCUAUCAAACGGUUGGUUUGCGGUGUUUAACGCCUCAACAGCCAAAAACUUGCYGGGAGGUGCUCRCCCAGUGCGRUCUCCUCCUGGCAAAACACAAACCCCGGCGCUGAAUGCGUCAAGGAACCGAAACUUGUUUAGCACGCUCCCGUACACCCGAACACGGUGCUUGUGCGGGCUGUGUUGCAACACGAAACCAUAAAACGACUCUCGGCAACGGAUAUCUCGGCUCUUGCAUCGAUGAAGAACGUAGCGAAAUGCGAUACUUGGUGUGAAUUGCAGAAUCCCGUGAACCAUCGAGUCUUUGAACGCAAGUUGCGCCUGAUGCCUUUAGGCUGAGGGCACGCCUGCCUGGGUGUCACACAUCGUUUCCCUUAUCUCGACGCCUCCUGUUAGGGGCACGGAGCGGGGUAAAUGUUGGCUUCCCAUGAGCAUCUGUCUCGUGGUUAGUUAAAAACUGAGUUCAUGAUGCGGAGGGCAUCRCGAUAAAUGGUGGUUGAGCACGCCUCGAGACCAAUCGGGUGCUUCUCCGAAUUACUUCGAGCUCUACGACCCUUGGGCGUCUGAUAGACAACCCAUAACGAGACCUCAGGUCAGGCGGGGCUACCCGCUGAGUUUAAGCAU